rnacentral:rRNA from 1 species
GACGAACGCUGGCGGCGUGCUUAACACAUGCAAGUCGAGCGGUAAGGCCCUUUCGGGGGUACACGAGCGGCGAACGGGUGAGUAACACGUGGGUGACCUGCCCUCAGCUCUGGGAUAAGCCCGGGAAACUGGGUCUAAUACUGGAUAUGACUCCACGGUGCAUGCCGUGGGGUGGAAAGCCUUGUGCGGCUGAGGAUGGGCCCGCGGCCUAUCAGCUUGUUGGUGGGGUGAGGCCUACCAAGGCGACGACGGGUAGCCGGCCUGAGAGGGCGACCGGCCACACUGGGACUGAGACACGGCCCAGACUCCUACGGGAGGCAGCAGUGGGGAAUCUUGCGCAAUGGGCGAAAGCCUGACGCAGCGACGCCGCGUGAGGGAUGACGGCCUGG